AAAUUGAAGAGUUUGAUCAUGGCUCAGAUUGAACGCUGGCGGCAGGCCUAACACAUGCAAGUCGAGCGGUAACACAGGGAGCUUGCUCCUGGGUGACGAGCGGCGGACGGGUGAGUAAUGUCUGGGAAACUGCCUGAUGGAGGGGGAUAACUACUGGAAACGGUAGCUAAUACCGCAUAACGUCGCAAGACCAAAGAGGGGGACCUUCGGGCCUCUUGCCAUCAGAUGUGCCCAGAUGGGAUUAGCUAGUAGGUGGGGUAACGGCUCACCUAGGCGACGAUCCCUAGCUGGUCUGAGAGGAUGACCAG
rnacentral:rRNA from 1 species